ensembl:lincRNA Gm34732 predicted gene, 34732
AGCACUCAGAUAUACGAGGCUCUGGGAAUCAUUCUUAUCCAAAGCACCACAAUGAUCUUGGUGCAUUGAAGAGUCUCCCAGCUACAAUAAGCAGGUUUCCAUACUAUCUGGAGUCACAAAUCCGGAAUAUACACUCUAUAGAACAAUGAGGUGACUUCGCACCUGGCCGGCAGCUGUGAACUGCAGCCCCCAGAGCCUUCAGAAGAAUAUGACUUCCAUAUCACCUCUCCCUCCAAAGAGCAAGCAGAAGACUUCUUGCGGCUUCUUCUGACCUAGAACAAUUCAUUCUAGAUCCUGUUCAGUUGACUAUCAUGGAAUGCUCGCGGCAAUACAAAGAGGCAUUGUUCAUCCCUUUCCUAAAGCAUUAAUCAAGAUUACUUGGUUAAUGGUUAUUUUUUAAAGCCACUUCUCUGUUUCUCCACAGGCAUACAGUUUGAUUAUAUAA